rfam:Aedes aegypti strain Liverpool supercont1.491 genomic scaffold, whole genome shotgun sequence.
CAAUCGGCCCUUUUCAGGGCCAACAUAAGUUCAUAAAAGGGUUUAU